AGAAUGAUGAUACUCUCUUAUACUUAGCUGUUAAAGGUGGAUAUAUCGACAUAGUCAAAUUGUUAUUAGAACAAAAAGAUAUAGACCCAAACAAAGUAAAUGAGGAUGAUGAUACUCUCUUACACUUAGCUGCUAAAGGUGGAUAUCUUGACAUAAUCAAAUUGUUGUUGGAAAGAACAAAUAUAAAUCCAAACAAAGUAAAUAAGUCGGGAAACAAUACUUUACACUCAGCUGUUGAACAUGGACAUUUAAACAUAGUAGAAGUUUUGUUAGAUAGAACAGAUAUAGAUCCAAACAAAGUAAAUGAG